UUUCCGUAGGUGAACCUGCGGAAGGAUCAUUAAAAAUGAAGCCGGGAAACCGGUCCUUCUAACCCUUGAUUAUCUUAAUUUGUUGCUUUGGUGGGCCGCGCAAGCACCGGCUUCGGCUGGAUCGUGCCUGCCAGAGGACACAACUCUGUAUCAAAUGUCGUCUGAGUACUAUAAAAUAGUUAAAACUUUCAACAACGGAUCUCUUGGUUCUG
rnacentral:misc_RNA from 1 species